rnacentral:rRNA from 1 species
CAGUAGCCGCGGUAAUGCGUAGGGUGCAAGCGUUAAUCGGAAUUACUGGGCGUAAAGCGUGCGCAGGCGGUUUGUUAAGACAGAUGUGAAAUCCCCGGGCUCAACCUGGGAACUGCAUUUGUGACUGGCGAGCUAGAGUGUGGCAGAGGGGGGUGGAAUUCCGCGUGUAGCAGUGAAAUGCGUAGAUAUGCGGAGGAACACCGAUGGCGAAGGCAGCCCCCUGGGCCAACACUGACGCUCAUGCACGAGAGCGUGGGGAGCAAACAGGAUUAGAUACCCCUGUAGUCCCUGUCUCUUAUAC